AGUGAACGCUGGCGGUAGGCCUAACACAUGCAAGUCGAACGGCAGCACAGUAAGAGCUUGCUCUUACGGGUGGCGAGUGGCGGACGGGUGAGGAAUACAUCGGAAUCUACUUUUUCGUGGGGGAUAACGUAGGGAAACUUACGCUAAUACCGCAUACGACCUACGGGUGAAAGCAGGGGAUCUUCGGACCUUGCGCGAUUGAAUGAGCCGAUGUCGGAUUAGCUAGUUGGCGGGGUAAAGGCCCACCAAGGCGACGAUCCGUAGCUGGUCUGAGAGGAUGAACAGCCAAAAUGGAACUGAGACAAGGGCCAGAAUCCUAAGGGAGGCAGCAGUGGGGAAUAUUGGACAAUGGGCGGAAGCCUGAUCCAGCCAUAACGCGUGGGUGAAGAAGGCCUUCGGGUUGUAAAGCCCUUUUGUUGGGAAAGAAAAGCAGCAGGUUAAUACCCCGCUGUUCUGACGGUACCCAAAGAAUAAGCACCGGCUAACUUCGUG
rnacentral:rRNA from 1 species